rnacentral:misc_RNA from 1 species
GAAAUAGGUGAUUUACUUAAGGUAUAGCUUUAACACUUAAUAUUUGUUGUGCUAAUUUAAUGGAUAUCUCAUUUGAAUUUCUUUUUCUUUAGCUAUUAUGGUAUAGUUUUCGGACCUUAGCAAUAAUGGAGCCCUGAACCAAGAAUAUUGGACGACAAAGAUCCAUAUAGAGGAACUUGGUUGUAUUUUGUCCAUGUAUUUGGUGCUGAUGAGUAGUUGGAAUCAUCUUUCUGAUUUGGUUGAUUUUUUUUUGUUAUCUUCAGUGCUUUCAAUUACAGAAUGCUUGAUAUUGCUCACAAGGAAUUGUCAUCAGAAUAUGAUCUGAUGCAACUACCAAACUGCAUUUCUGUAAUGCAAGAAUUCCUUUUUCUUUUUAUUUUUUUUUCAAAAGAACAAUUGGCAAACAUUGAAAUUGUUGUGAUACUUAAAAGACAAG